rnacentral:rRNA from 1 species
AAGUUGUUGCAGUUAAAAAGCUCGUAGUUGGAUUUGUGGUGUGUCCAGUCGGCCUUCGCUUUUAGUGAUAGCGCUGUACUGGUCUGCCAUGUUUGGGUGGAAUCUGUGUGGCAUUAGGUUGUCGUGCAGGGGAUGCCCAUCGUUUACUGUGAAAAAAUUAGAGUGUUCAAAGCAGGCUUAUGCCGUUGAAUAUAUUAGCAUGGAAUAAUAAUAUAGGACCUUGGUACUAUUUUGUUGGUUUGCGCACUAAGGUAAUGAUUAAGAGGGACAGUUGGGGGUAUUUGUAUUCCAUUGUCAGAGGUGAAAUUCUUGGAUUUCUGGAAGACAAACUACUGCGAAAGCAUUUACCAAGGAUGUUUUCAUUAAUCAAGAACGAAAGUUAGGGGAUCGAAGAUGAU